ACUAGUUUCUUUAAACUGGAGGCACAAAAGACUUAGAAUCUAUUAAUGCCUUUUCAUAUUUCCGAACAGAAAGACAUCAGCUGUUGCUUCGGUGUCUCACAGGGAGCGGCGGGACAUGUCUGGGACCUGCGGCUGCAUAGUGAACGAGGAGCGGUUUAUAUUCGGCGGCUGCUGUGAUGAUGGACAGACGAAUGAACUUUACUCCGACAGCCUGCAGGACGAGAGGUGCAGCUGGAGGAGAGCGACUAAUAUGAGUGUGGAUCUCCCGACAGAAUCAUCUACUUUGGUGGAUAUGGCCACAAACCGCUGAGUGCCAUCCACGAUCCGGAGAGCUUCAUUGUGGAUGAAGCAUCAUGGGCCGAGGACAUCUUCUGGGGAUGGAACAAUGAAGUUCAUGAGUUUGAUCCGGAAAGAAGCAGCUGGACCGAACCGCAGACCUUCGGGAGUCAUUCAGCUUCGUGAUUUCAGUCGUGUUUCCAGCUCUAUGAAGUUAGGAAGUACAUGAGUGUGUGUUUAAAACAGUAUGAAGUGUGUUUGUGAAUGAUUGUGAAUUCAUGGACAUGGUCAGAAAUGUAAGAGACGUCACAUAGCUCCUCACUCAUGUAUAUAAUCCGCUCUUGAGUGUUAUGUGUCUCGUCUGGUGUUUGUAGAGUUGGGUUGGGUCUGGCGCCUGUGGGACGCUCAUGGCACACGCUAACAGCCGUGUCUGAUACGUCUCUUUCUGUUCAGUGGACUCAGACCCAUGAGUAUGACGCACACAAAAACACAACUCUAAAUUAAUGCAUAGUUAAAAAACUAAACUACAGACCUUUUUCUUUCUCCUCAGGUGAUGGCUGGAUGUUUAAUCUGGAGACAGAAGGAUGGACAGAGAUGGAGCAUCAAAACAAGGACAAACCGCGGUAGGUGAAAACAUGCAGAAAUGGAGAUGGAAAGAAUAAGAUAUUAUGAUUGCAUUCCUCAAGCUCUCUUUCGCUCUGGUUUUCUAGUCUGUGGCACACCGCGUGUCAAGGAAGAGACUCAGAUGUUGUAGUGUUUGGAGGAAGUCAUGAUUUUAUCCUUUUAGUGGACAAAGUGAGUGUUGUGGGCUCCACGGUGUACCGAUAAUUCAGCAAACAUCUGAAAUCUGUAAGCCUGGGUCAGUGAAGAUGAUUUGUUUUGCAGGGCCACUGCAACGAGGCGCUUGUUUUCCAGACUCCGCCGCUGAUGUGGUAACAAUCACUGAACUGUGGAACAGGAAUUAUGGGCUGAUGGAGAACAAACUGAUGCGAUGUAUUUCCACAGAUUGUGCCAAGACUUCAUUGCAAGCCACACCGGCAUGUUUCAGUACCAGAUUCUCUGUUUACCACCAAAACUGAGAAACGCUGUGCACAAAAGGACAAUUUUCUUCAGGCCAAGCACAGUCACAGAAUGUGGAAUGAUUUGCUUUAAA